AAGAUUUUAAGUUAAUAAAACUAACAUCCUUCAAAGAUGUCUAAAAAAGUAGACCCUUUUAAAUCUUA
rnacentral:tRNA from 1 species